CGUUGCGCCACGGAGUCAGUUGAUGGAAGUGAGUAAUAAUUGUGUCAUAAGUUCAAAUUAUUUAGCCAAUGAAUAAUUCACAUAUGAAUUAAUGACUUUUCCAUUUUCACCAAACGGAUGAAUAUACAGGGACUGCAGAGAUCUCUUUCACCACAGCUGCACCUGUAGUUGCAAUCUUUGCCGUAGAAUCCUUCGAGACAUGGGACUUCACAUCUGGAAAAAUUUCAAAGUGAUUUAUAACUACUUUUCACUUAUCUCCAAAACUAGGAAUAUGAAGAGAAAGUUUAAUACAGUAAGGACGUUUCAUGUCGUUUAUUUUUUAGUUGGUGAAUUAAGAGCGCAUAGGUAGGCAAGUCGAAUCCAUUUCAUUUAUUAAACAUUAACAGUAGGUAAACUGAGUCUAUAUCUGUCAUCAAUGGAACAAUUAUUGAUCUUUGAAGCGUAUCAUCGUUAUAGAGUGGCUACUAUGUGAAUGAUGGUAUUACAGAUAUUA